rnacentral:tRNA from 1 species
GGGCCUAUAGCUCAGUUGGUUAGAGCACACGCCUGAUAAGCGUGAGGUCGGUGGUUCAAGACCAUUUAGGCCCACCA